CAAUAGCGUAUAUUAAAGUUGUUGCAGUUAAAAAGCUCGUAGUUGGAUUUGUGGCGUACGGUGGGUUCCGGGCACUUGUUGUCUGAGUAACUUGCUGUUGCCAUCCUUGGGUGGAACCUGUGUGGCAUUAGGUUGUCGUGCAGGGGAUGCCCAUCAUUUACUGUGAAAAAAUUAGAGUGUUCAAAGCAGGCUUAUGCCGUUGAAUAUAUUAGCAUGGAAUAAUGAGAUAGGACUUUUUUGCUAUUUUGUUGGUUUGCGCAAAGAGGUAAUGAUUAAUAGGGACAGUUGGGGGUAUUCGUAGUCCAUUGUCAGAGGUGAAAUUCUUGGAUUUUUGGAAGACGAACUACUGCGAAAGCAUUUACCAAGGAUGUUUUCAUUAA
rnacentral:rRNA from 1 species